GACGAACGCUGGCGGCGUGCUUAACACAUGCAAGUCGAACGGAAAGGCCCUGCUUUUGUGGGGUGCUCGAGUGGCGAACGGGUGAGUAACACGUGAGUAACCUGCCCUUGACUUUGGGAUAACUUCAGGAAACUGGGGCUAAUACCGGAUAGGAGCUCCUGCUGCAUGGUGGGGGUUGGAAAGUUUCGGCGGUUGGGGAUGGACUCGCGGCUUAUCAGCUUGUUGGUGGGGUAGUGGCUUACCAAGGCUUUGACGGGUAGCCGGCCUGAGAGGGUGACCGGCCACAUUGGGACUGAGAUACGGCCCAGACUCCUACGGGAGGCAGCAGUGGGGAAUAUUGCACAAUGGGCGGAAGCCUGAUGCAGCAACGCCGCGUGCGGGAUGACGGCCUUCGGGUUGGAAACCGCUUUCGCCUGUGACGAAGCGUGAGUGACGGUAAUGGGUAAAGAAGCACCGGCUAACGACGUGC
rnacentral:rRNA from 1 species